rnacentral:rRNA from 1 species
CGUAGGUGGCAAGCGUUGUCCGGAUUUACUGGGCGUAAAGAGCGCGCAGGCGGUCGAUUAAGUUGAGUGUGAAAGCCCCCGGCUCAACUGGGGAGGGUCACUUGAUACUGGUCGACUCGAAGGCAGGAGAGGGAAGUGGAAUUCCCGGUGUAGUGGUGAAAUGCGUAGAUAUCGGGAGGAACACCAGUGGCGAAGGCGACUUCCUGGCCUGUUCUUGACGCUGAGGCGCGAAAGCUAGGGGAGCAAACGGGAUUAGAUACCCCGGUAGUCCUAGCCGUAAACGAUGGACACUAGGUGUUGGUGGUAUCAACCCCGCCAGUGCCGUAGCUAACGCAUUAAGUGUCCCGCCUGGGGAGUACGGCCGCAAGGCUA